GCACUUUUAUUUCUAAUCCUCCCGGCAUAUAUUUAGAUCGCCGGAUUCGUCCGGCUAUGGCGAUAAACGCGACCGUAAUAAGCCGUUCGGACCCGGGGGCAGUACCCGGCGCCUCCACCACAAGCUCAUGGGGUUUCAAAGGCCUCCUGGGACUUGGCCACGGACCCUCCUCCGUGAGCUGGUGAUGGGGGCGAACUAGGAUCGACGAGGGUGUAAAGGGUUUAGCUUUUGCCCGGCAUGAUACCACCGUCAUCGGGUCAUUCAGAAUAGUUGCCAAUGACAACUAUGCUGAGGCUGCUCUCGCUGCGUAAUGCGGCGCGAAAUGCCUAACUACUAAAGUCCUCGCUCCUAGCCGAGCAAGGCGCGGUCUGGGGGGCACCGGGCAACAGAAGCCUCCCGCU
rnacentral:tmRNA from 1 species